rnacentral:sRNA from 1 species
UUAGCAGCCCUGGAAACUCAUGUCCUCUGUUCAGCCACAGAACAAGUACAGCAUCUUUAGUGGCUCUUCUCCACAACCCCACACCAAUCUGCCUCAUUUAUGACCUAGAGAAAAUAUUCCUUGGGGUUAAAGAGUGAUUCUGGCUCCAUGUUCACUCAGACCAUGGCCUCU